rnacentral:rRNA from 1 species
GACGAACCGUGCGAACGUUGUUCGGAAUCACUGGGCUUAAAGGGCGCGUAGGCGGGCCACCAAGUCUGGGGUGAAAUCCUUCGGCUUAACCGGAGAAUUGCCUGAGAUACUGGUGGUCUUGAGGGAGGUAGGGGCACGCGGAACUUCCGGUGGAGCGGUGAAAUGCGUUGAUAUCGGAAGGAACGCCGGUGGCGAAAGCGACGUGCUGGACCUCUUCUGACGCUGAGGCGCGAAAGCUAGGGGAGCAAACGGG